rnacentral:rRNA from 1 species
AACGAACGCUGGCGGCAUGCCUAACACAUGCAAGUCGAACGAGACCUUCGGGUCUAGUGGCGCACGGGUGCGUAACGCGUGGGAAACUGCCUUUAGGUUCGGAAUAACUCAGAGAAAUUUGAGCUAAUACAGGAUGAUGUCUUCGGACCAAAGAUUUAUCGCCUUUAGAUGGGCCCGCGUUGGAUUAGAUCGUUGGUGGGGUAAAGGGCUACCAAGGCGCCGGUCCAUAGCUGGUCUGAGGGGAUGAUCAGCCACACUGGGACUGAGACACGGCCCAGACUCCUACGGGAGGCAGCAGUGGGGAAUAUUGGACAAGGGGCGAAAGCCUGAUCCAGCCAUGCCGCGUGAGGGAUGAAGGCCUUAGGGGUGUAAAGCUCUUUUACCCGAGAUGAUAAUGACGGUAGCGGGAGAAGAAGCACCGGCUAACUCCGUG